CGCGCAGGCGGUUUUCCAAGUCAGAUGUGAAAGCCCCGGGCUCAACCUGGGAACUGCAUUUGAGACUGGAGAACUUGAGUUCGGGAGAGGAGAGCGGAAUUCCCAGUGUAGAGGUGAAAUUCGUAGAUAUUGGGAAGAACACCGGUGGCGAAGGCGGCUCUCUGGACCGAUACUGACGCUGAGGCGCGAAAGCGUGGGGAGCAAACA
rnacentral:rRNA from 1 species